rnacentral:rRNA from 1 species
AGAGUUUGAUUCUGGCUCAGAACGAACGCUGGCGGCAGGCCUAACACAUGCAAGUCGAGCGGCCCUUUCGGGGGUAGCGGCGGACGGGUGAGUAACGCGUGGGAACGUACCCUUUUCUACGGAAUAGCCUCGGGAAACUGAGAGUAAUACCGUAUACGCCCUUUGGGGGAAAGAUUUAUCGGAGAAGGAUCGGCCCGCGUUGGAUUAGGUAGUUGGUGGGGUAAUGGCCUACCAAGCCGACGAUCCAUAGCUGGUUUGAGAGGAUGAUCAGCCACACUGGGACUGAGACACGGCCCAGACUCCUACGGGAGGCAGCAGUGGGGAAUCUUAGACAAUGGGGGAAACCCUGAUCUAGCCAUGCCGCGUGAGCGAUGAAGGCCUUAGGGUUGUAAAGCUCUUUCACCGGGGAAGAUAAUGACGGUACCCGGAGAAGAAGCCCCGGCUAACUCCGUGCCAGCAGCCGCGGUAAUACGGAGGGGCUAGCGUUGUUCG